UCUUUUUUUGGAGACUUUUUGAUAGUAAUAUUAAUAAUAAAAUCAUAUUUCAGUGCAAAGUAACCUACAAUUUCUUUGGUGGGGGGCAGCAAGGGACCAGGAUAAUGGAUAGGGGGUUGCUGGCCCAAAAACGGUUAAGAAACACUGACUUAGAA